ACACUUACGCAGCAGGGGAGGCACCAUGAUCACGAAGGUGGUUUUCCCAGGGCGAGGCUUAUCCAUUGCCCUCCGGAUGCGCUGGCCCCUGCGAUUUCCCCACAUGCGGGAAGCUCCACUGCAUGAUUGGUGGUCGUGAGGGGCUGCGUCCUCGCUCUCCCCUG